rnacentral:rRNA from 1 species
GACGAACGCUGGCGGCGUGCCUAAUACAUGCAAGUAGAACGCAGUUGCGAACGGGUGAGUAACGCGUAGGUAACUGCCUCAUAGCGGGGGAUAACUAUUGGAGACGAUAGCUAAUACCGCAUACUGUGACAUGGAACUGCGUUGUAUUGGCUAGUUGUUGAGUUACAUGAUCACCAAGGCGACGAUAGAUAGCCGACCUGAGAGGAUGAUCGGCCACACUGGGACUGAGACACGGCCCAGACGCCUACGGGAGGCAGCAGUAGGGAAUCUUCGGCAAUGGACGGAAGUCUGACGGAGCAACGCCGCGUGAGUGAAGAAGGUGUUCGGAUCGUAAAUCUCUUUUGUUGGAGAAGCGUUAUCUAACCAGGAAGCCACGGCUAACUACGUGCCAGCAGCCGCGGUAAUAC